GAGUAAGAAGGAAUUUUUGGUGAAUUUUUGAGUUUGAGGGAGUCGACUGCCUUUGCAGUUUGAAUCAAUCAAGUUUGGAAAAGCAUUUCUCGGUGCCUGAUGAUUGGCUUUAUUUGAAAUUUUGGGAGCAUCAAGCUUUAUAAGCUAAGCUCUGAAAAGCGCAAGUUUUAUUGAAUUUGAAGACAAUCUGAAUUUUUAGUGAAUUUCUAAGUGAAGAGGGUUGGUCACUGCAGUAGUUUGGAUCACUCAACUUCAAAGGAGGAAUUCUCACGAUUGGAGCAUUAGAUUGCAAUAAAGAUUAAUGAAUCAAAAGCGCCUUCAAGUCAGCCUUGCAAUAAGCUAAGAAUCAUUCAAAUUGAAGUCGAUUACAAAUUUUGGCAAAUUUUGAA
rnacentral:lncRNA from 1 species